AGGCAAUCAUAUAUACCUACCGAGGAAGGAUGGAAAGCUACACAGGAGAGUGAUUUUUACUAAGGAGGAUGUGCUGACCGAGAUGCAUGCUGGCCAUUUCAGAGUGAAGCGCAUGAUUGGCAAAACCAACCUACGUUUCUUCUGACGGGGAAUUGUCAAGGAGGUGGACAGCUGGGAUGAGACUUGCGAGGCCACCUCCAAGGCGAUGGUGGACAUUUUCAACAUCUGACCCCCAGGGGGAAUCCUGUCCACCAGAACCAGUGAGUUCGGAUCAGUCUGAUUCUCUGUGCUCUGAGCCGGAGGGGAACCAGCAUGAGGACCUAGGGGUUCUGCCCAACACCCAGACGUGGAUCUACCUGAUGUCCUCCAUUACCAACCACCCUCCAACUUUUCAUUACAUCAUCUACAGCUACAGUUGUUGACAUGUUGUCAUUAUCUGCUAAAAUAAUCUGCUCUAUCAUACCGAGCACAUAAUAUGUGAGAUACACAGAUGAACUAAAAACACUAGCACUGCAAACACUCAAAACAAAGAGAGCAGCAGUGCCUGGACUUUGCAGUCUCCCUCUUCAAGUCCCCCUUCUGAGACUGGCUGCCUGUUGAGAACAAGUGACAGGCAGAAUCUCACAACCACCUCCUCUAUAUUCCAAACACCAGAAUUCAGUAUUUUUGUCUAUGAUUGCCAUCUGAGUGCACAACAAAUCUGUG
ensembl:lncRNA